GAUGAACGCUGGCGGCGUGCCUAAUACAUGCAAGUCGAGCGGACAGAUAAGGAGCUUGCUCCUUUGACGUUAGCGGCGGACGGGUGAGUAACACGUGGAUAACCUACCUAUAAGACUGGGAUAACUUCGGGAAACCGGAGCUAAUACCGGAUAACAUAUUGAACCGCAUGGUUCAAUAGUGAAAGGCGGCUUUGCUGUCACUUAUAGAUGGAUCCGCGCCGUAUUAGCUAGUUGGUAAGGUAACGGCUUACCAAGGCAACGAUACGUAGCCGACCUGAGAGGGUGAUCGGCCACACUGGAACUGAGACACGGUCCAGACUCCUACGGGAGGUAGCAGUAGGGAAUCUUCCGCAAUGGGCGAAAGCCUGACGGAGCAACGCCGCGUGAGUGAUGAAGGUCUUCGGAUCGUAAAACUCUGUUAUCAGGGAAGAACAAAUGUGUAAGUAACUGUGCACAUCUUGACGGUACCUGAUCAGAAAGCCACGGCUAACUACGUG
rnacentral:rRNA from 1 species